ACGUCGAACAGACGCCGAACGGACAACACCUCUCCUGUCCGCCAAAGACUCAACACAAGUAAUAAUCGUGUAUAUAUAAAUUCUACACAACAGAACAAAGAUAUACAUGGCUUGCACGAGGGCAAGCAAUAGCCAAAGUGAAAGUACUAAACUAAGCAUACAUACAAGUAAUAUGAUUAACUUUCAACCACAUACAUGCAUUCAACUUGUACAUUUACAUUCUUUUCAUCAUUUCUUUUUACAUCACAUGAUCUCCCAAACUUACAUAACAUGUUUUCAUCAUUUAAACAUCUAUAAUCAUCAAGUACAAAAGAUGAUAUAAAGGGGAUGCAACUAAACAAAAUGAAA
rnacentral:lncRNA from 1 species